CCUACGGGAGGCAGCAGUGGGGGAUAUUGCACAAUGGGGGAAACCCUGAUGCAGCGACGCCGCGUGGGCGAAGAAGUAUUUCGGUAUGUAAAGCCCUAUCCGCAGGGAAGAAGAAAUGACGGUACCUGAGUAAGUAGCACCGGCUAAAUACGUGCCAGCAGCCGCGGUAAUACGUAUGGUGCAAGCGUUAUCCGGGGUUACGGGGUGGAAAGGGAGGGCAGGCGGGACUGCAAGCCUGAUGUGAAAGCCCGCGGCCCAACCGCGGGACUGCAUUGGGAACUACCGGGCUGGAGUGCCGGAGAGGUAGGCGGAAUUCCGAGUGUAGCGGUGAAAUGCGUAGAUAUUAGGAGGAACACCAGUGGCGAAGGCGGCCUACUGGACGGUGACUGACGCUGAGGCUCGAAAGCGUGGGGAGCAAACAGGAUUAGAUACCCGGGUAGUC
rnacentral:rRNA from 1 species